GACGAACGCUGGCGGCGUGCUUAACACAUGCAAGUCGCACGGCCCGCAAGGGCAGUGGCGGACGGGUGCGUAACACGUGAGGAAUGUGCCCUUCGGCGGGGGAUAGCCGGCCCAACGGCCGGGUAAUACCGCAUACGCAGCUCGAGAGGCAUCUCUUGGGUUGGAAAGCAGCAAUGCACCGAUGGAGCACCUCGCGGCCUAUCAGCUAGUUGGUGGGGUAACGGCCCACCAAGGCGACGACGGGUAGCUG
rnacentral:rRNA from 1 species